rnacentral:rRNA from 1 species
UGGGGAAUUUUCCGCAAUGGGGGGAACCCUGACGGAGCAACGCCGCGUGCGGGAGGACGGCCUGUGGGUUGUAAACCGCUUUUCUCUGGGAAGAAGCUCUGACGGUACCAGAGGAAUCAGCAUCGGCUAACUCCGUGCCAGCAGCCGCGGUAAUACGGAGGAUGCAAGCGUUAUCCGGAAUUAUUGGGCGUAAAGCGUCCGCAGGUGGCUCCUCAAGUCUGCUGUCAAAGAGCGAAGCUCAACUUCGCAAAGGCAGUGGAAACUGAAGAGCUAGAGUAUGGUAGGGGUAGAGGGAAUUCCCAGUGUAGCGGUGAAAUGCGUAGAGAUUGGGAAGAACAUCGGUGGCGAAAGCGCUCUACUGGGCCAUAACUGACACUCAGGGACGAAAGCUAAGGUAGCGAAAGGGAUUAGAUACCCCCGUAGUCC